rnacentral:lncRNA from 1 species
CUGAUUGUUACUCUCCUGCCUCCUUCUUUUACGUAUAAGGAUCUUUGUGAUUACAUUGGUCCCACCAGGAAAAUCUACACACCUGCAAAGUCCCUUUUGCCACAUCAUCGGAAGAAACAAAAACAAGCUGUGGUGAAGAAGAAACGUUUUCUAAAGCCUCUUUUAUCCCCAGGAUGGUUGAGAAGUCAGAGGCCUGCAAUGCUAGGAAGAGAGGGUCUAAAGUGUCCUUUUCACCGUGAUGUAAGUAGGCUCUCCAGCAGUCCCAGAAGACUUUCACAAGAAGAGUUUCAACAACAGAAAAUAAGCCUAAGUGAUUGUGUG